CCUACGGGAGACAGCAGUGAGGAAUAGUGGUCAAUGGACGGAAGUCUGAACCAGCCAUGCCGCGUGCAGGAAGACGGCUCUAUGAGUUGUAAACUGCGUUUGUACAAGGGUAAACCUGAAUACGUGGAUGCAGCUGAAAGAACUGUACGAAUAAGGAUCGGCUAACUCCGUGCCAGCAGCCGCGGUAAUACGGAGGCUCCAAGCGUUAUCCGGAUUUAUUGGGUGUAAAGGGUGCGUAGGCGUAUUGAUCAGUUAGAGGUGAAAUGUCCUCGCUUAACUCGGGAACUGCCUCUCAUACUGUUGUUCUAGAGCGUAUCUUCGGUAGGCGGAAUGUUUGGUGUAGCGGUGAACUGCUUCGAGAUCAUCCAUAACACCGAUUGCGACGGCAGCUUACCAAUCUAUAUCUGCCGUUGAGGCACGACAGCGUGUGGAGCAAACAGGAUUAGAUACCCUAGUCGUC
rnacentral:rRNA from 1 species